CCUACGGGCGGCUGCAGUAGGGAAUAUUGCACAAUGGGCGCAAGCCUGAUGCAGCCAUGCCGCGUGUGUGAAGAAGGCCUUCGGGUUGUAAAGCACUUUCAGCGGGGAGGAAGGCGGUGAGGUUAAUAACCUCAUCGAUUGACGUUACCCGCAGAAGAAGCACCGGCUAACUCCGUGCCAGCAGCCGCGGUAAUACGGAGGGUGCAAGCGUUAAUCGGAAUUACUGGGCGUAAAGCGCACGCAGGCGGUCUGUCAAGUCGGAUGUGAAAUCCCCGGGCUCAACCUGGGAACUGCAUUCGAAACUGGCAGGCUAGAGUCUUGUAGAGGGGGGUAGAAUUCCAGGUGUAGCGGUGAAAUGCGUAGAGAUCUGGAGGAAUACCGGUGGCGAAGGCGGCCCCCUGGACAAAGACUGACGCUCAGGUGCGAAAGCGUGGGGAGCAAACAGGAUUAGAUACCCGGGUAGUC
rnacentral:rRNA from 1 species